rnacentral:lncRNA from 1 species
GGAUAAUUUGAGUAGAUAAAUUUCCGAAGUGGCAGAUGUAAUCUACUAGCUUUUAAGCUAGUAGUUGAGUCAAAUACCAGCUGCACAGUCAAAGAGGGAAGACUCCAGCUUCUGUACAGAACACUUACAAGUUUGUUUUCUCCUGCAGAUUUCAGUUUUUCCUGCAGUUUCAUUGUAGUCUGACGGAUUCGUUCUAUUUCUGCCUGCUGUUUAAGGAUUAGCUGUCUCUCCUUCCGAGCAGCCUUGUUAGCCUCUUGCAGACGCUUAAUUUCUGCCUUUUCCUGCUGUAGUCUCAGCAGAAGACCACGCUGCCUCUUUCGAAUAGGGGGCAUCUUAUCAUCCUC